UACGAAGGGGGCUAGCGUUGCUCGGAAUCACUGGGCGUAAAGGGUGCGUAGGCGGGUCUUUAAGUCAGGGGUGAAAUCCUGGAGCUCAACUCCAGAACUGCCUUUGAUACUGAGAGUCUUGAGUUCGGGAGAGGUGAGUGGAACUGCGAGUGUAGAGGUGAAAUUCGUAGAUAUUCGCAAGAACACCAGUGGCGAAGGCGGCUCACUGGCCCGGUACUGACGCUGAGGUGCGAAAGCGUGGGGAGCAAACAGG
rnacentral:rRNA from 1 species